GGACCCGCACAAGCGGUGGAGUAUGUGGUUUAAUUCGAUGCAACGCGAAGAACCUUACCAGGGUUUGACAUAGUUCCAAAACUCCUUGAAAGAGGAGCCUCCUUCGGGAUGGAACAACAGGUGGUGCAUGGCUGUCGUCAGCUCGUGUUGUGAAAUGUCGAGUUAAGUCUCGUAACGAGCGCAACCCAUGUCUCUUGUUGCUGAAUCAGUGCUUAAGAGAGACUGCCGACCAACAUCGGAGGAAGGUGUGGAUGAUGUCAAGUCAGCAUGCCCCUUACACCCUGGGCUACACACGUACUACAAUGGUGAGGACAAUGAGCAGCUACCCUGCGAAGGCAAGCGAAUCUCAAAAACCUCAUCUCAGUUCGGAUUGCACUCUGCAACUCGAGUGCAUGAAGGUGGAAUCGCUAGUAAUCG
rnacentral:rRNA from 1 species